rnacentral:sRNA from 1 species
UCCAGUGGGCUGCGAAAAGGCACCAAAAAGUACCCGGACUAUAUCCAAAUUGCUAUGCCCACUGAAUCAAGGAACAAAUUUCCACUAGAGUGGUGGAAAACGGGCAUUGCCUUCAUAUAUGCAGUUUUCAACCUCGUCUUGACAACCGUCAUGAUCACAGUUGUACAUGAGAGGGUCCCUCCCAAGGAGCUUAGCCCUCCACUCCCAGACAAGUUUUUUGAUUACAUUGAUAGGGUGAAAUGGGCAUUUUCUGUAUCAGAAAUAAAUGGGAUUAUAUUAGUUGGAUUAUGGAUCACCCAGUGGCUGUUUCUGAGAUACAAGUCAAUAGUGGGACGCAGAUUCUGUUUUAUUAUUGGAACUUUAUACCUGUAUCGCUGCAUUACAAUGUAUGUUACUACUCUACCUGUGCCUGGAAUGCAUUUCCAGUGUGCUCCAAAGCUCAAUGGAGACUCUCAGGCAAAAGUUCAACGGAUUCUACGAUUGAUUUCUGGUGGUGGAUUGUCCAUAACUGGAUCACAUAUCUUAUGUGGAGACUUCCUCUUCAGCGGUCACACGGUUACGCUGACACUGACUUAUUUGUUCAUCAAAGAAUGUGGGAUAGUAACAUCUUUUUGAGGGAAGAAUUGGCUUCCUUUCUUGAAAGUGGUGAAGGUACAGCAUAUAGCUGCAUGGAAGAAACAGUAAUCGGAUGGCUACCUUCUACAUUUUGUAUUAGGAAACAAAGUCCAUUGUAAGAGUCCAUGUUGAUCUUGGAAAUAGAAGGAUUGAAAAAAGCUAAAUUUCCACAAAGAACAAGAACUUGACCAUCUCCUUUUUGAUCUGAAGACUAGGGGACAAUGGAUAUCAUAGAGACAGCAAAACUUGAAGAACAUUUGGAAAAUCAACCCAGUGAUCCUACGAACACUUAUGCAAGACCCGCUGAACCUGUUGAAGAAGAAAACAAAAAUGGCAAUGGUAAACCCAAGAGCUUA